rnacentral:rRNA from 1 species
GAGGCUACUGCUAUUGGAGUUCGAUUAAGCCAUGCGAGUCUAAGGGGUACUUGUACCCCUGGCGUAAUGCUCAGUAACACGUGGAUAAUCUACCCUCAGGUGGGGCAUAAACCCGCGAAAGUGGGGCUAAUUCCCCAUAGAUACAGAUAGCUGGAAUGCUUCUGUAUUCAAAGCUCCGGCGCCUGAGGAUGAGUCUGCGGCCUAUCAGGUUGUAGUCAGGGUCAUGACCUGACUAGCCAGCGACGGGUAUGGGGUGUGAGAGCACUUGCCCAGAGAUGGUUUCUGAGACACGAAACCAGGCCCUACGGGGCGCAGCAGGCGCGAAAACUUCGCAAUGCGGGAAACCGUGACGAGGGAACUCCAAGUGUCUAUGCAUUGCAUAGACUGUUUUUUAGCCUAAAUAGCUAUUAGAGUAAGGGGUGGGUAAGACCGGUGCCAGCCGCCGCGGUAACACCGGCACCCCGAGUGGUAGCCACUAUUAUUGGGCCUAAAGCGUUCGUAGCCGGUUUGGUAAAUUCUUGGGUAAAUCGUACCGCUUAACGGUGCGGAUUCCGGGGACACUACCAGACUUGAGACCGGGGGAGAUCAGAGGUACUUGCGGGGGAGCGGUGAAAUGUUGUAAUCCCGCAGGGACCACCAGUGGCGAAGGCGUCUGAUCAGAACGGCUCUGACGGUGAGGAACGAAACCCUGGGGCGCAAACGGGAUUAGAUACCCCGGUAGUCCAGGGCGUAAACGCUGCUGACUUGGUGUUGGGGAUCCUACGAGGAUGUCCAGUGCUGGCGCGAAGGUAUUAAGUCAGCCGCCUGGGGAGUACGGUCGCAAGACUGAAACUUAAAGGAAUUGGCGGGGGAGCACUGCAACGUGUGGAGCGUGCGGUUUAAUUGGAGUCAACGC